rnacentral:rRNA from 1 species
CACAUGCAAGUCGAACGAAGUAGCAAUACUUAGUGGCAGACGGGUGAGUAACAUGUGGGUAUCUGCCCUUUGGCCUGGAAUAACACGAGGAAACUUGUGCUAAUACCGGAUAAGUCCUUACGGAGAAAGUUUUAAUGCCAAAAGAUGAGCCCGCAUUUGAUUAGCUAGUUGGUGAGGUAAAAGCUCACCAAGGCGAUAAUCAAUAGCUGAUUUGAGAGGAUGAUCAGCCACACUGGGACUGAGAUACGGCCCAGACUCCUACGGGAGGCAGCAGUGGGGAAUCUUGCACAAUGGAGGAAACUCUGAUGCAGCGAUGCCGCGUGAGUGAAGAAGGCCCUUGGGUUGUAAAGCUCUUUCGUCGGGGAAGAAAAUGACUGUACCCGAAUAAGAAGGUCCGGCUAACUUCGUGCCAGCAGCCGCGGUAAUACGAAGGGACCUAGCGUAGUUCGGAAUUACUGGGCUUAAAGAGUUCGUAGGUGGUUGAAAAAGUUGGUGGUGAAAUCCCAGAGCUUAACUCUGGAACUGCCAUCAAAACUUUUCAGCUAGAGUAUGAUAGAGGAAAGCAGAAUUUCUAGUGUAGAGGUGAAAUUCGUAGAUAUUAGAAAGAAUACCAAUUGCGAAGGCAGCUUUCUGGAUCAUUACUGACACUGAGGAACGAAAGCAUGGGUAGCGAAGAGUAUUAGAUACCCUCGUAGUCCAUGCCGUAAACGAUGUGUGUUAGACGUUGGAAAUUUAUUUUCAGUGUCGCAGCGAAAGCGAUAAACACACCGCCUGGGGAGUACGACCGCAAGGUUAAAACUCAAAUGAAUUGACGGGGACCCGCACAAGUAGUGGAGCAUGUGGUUUAAUUCGAAGAUACGCGCAGAACCUUACCAACACUUGACAUGUUCGUCGCGACUCUAAGAGAUUAGAGUUUUCGGUUCGGCCGGACGAAACACAGGUGCUGCAUGGCUGUCGUCAGCUCGUGUCGUGAGAUGUUGGGUUAAGUCCCGCAACGAGCGCAACCCUCACUUUUAGUUGCCAUCAUUAAGUUGGGCACUCUGAAAGAACUGCCAGUGAUAAGCUGGAGGAAGGUGGGGAUGACGUCAAGUCCUCAUGGCCCUUACGUGUUGGGCUACACACGUGCUACAAUGGUAUCUACAACAGGAAGCAAGACUGCGAAGUUAAGCAAAUCCCUAAAAGAUACCUCAGUUCGGAUUGCACUCUGCAACUCGAGUGCAUGAAGCUGGAAUUACUAGUAAUCGUGGAUCAGCGUGCCACGGUGAAUGCGUUCCCGGGUCUUGUACACACCGCCCGUCACACCAUGGGAGUUGGUUCUACCUUAAGGCAAGGUUUCAAACCCUUGACCACGGUAUAGUCAGCGACUGGGGU